UUUUCCUUUAUGUUUCUUCUGUUUUUGCUCACUGAGCUUAUCCAGAGGAAGUUCGUUCAAAUCAACACUGUAGAGGUUCCUCGCCAACACCUAAGCCAAAGAAUACACAGUCAUGAAGUGUAGAAUAUCCACUCCUGAUAAACACGGACCACUUUUCGCAUUGCUGCAGCUUCACACAGUGGAAGGAGAAAUGCCUGCCGUGGUAGAAAAGAGAGGGAUUAACCAUAUGUAUACAUAAUGUGAUAAAGAUGCUUCUUCACCUGUCUGAAGAUCUCCGUGAUGAAGUUGAUGCUGGUUCUGGAGGUGGUCAGGACUCGCCUCACCACCUCCAUGUCUGUCAACUGUUCUUCAUCCAUAGAGCACAGUGAG